rnacentral:rRNA from 1 species
GACGAACGCUGGCGGCGUGCUUAACACAUGCAAGUCGAACGAAGCUUGAUUACGGAUUCUUCGGAUGAAGUAUGAUAUGACUGAGUGGCGGACGGGUGAGUAACGCGUGAGUAACCUGCCCUUCAGAGGGGGAUAGCGUUUGGAAACGAACGGUAAUACCGCAUAAUGUAUUUUGACCGCAUGAUCGACAUACCAAAGAUUUAUCGCUGAAGGAUGGACUCGCGUCUGAUUAGGUAGUUGGUGGGGUAACGGCCUACCAAGCCGACGAUCAGUAGCCGGACUGAGAGGUUGAUCGGCCACAUUGGGACUGAGACACGGCCCAGACUCCUACGGGAGGCAGCAGUGGGGAAUAUUGCACAAUGGGCGCAAGCCUGAUGCAGCAACGCCGCGUGAAGGAAGACGGUUUUCGGAUUGUAAACUUCUGUUCUUAGGGAAGAAUAAUGACGGUAGCUAAGGAGCAAGCCACGGCUAACUACGUG